rnacentral:rRNA from 1 species
GUCCACGCCCUAAACGAUGCACACUAGAUCGGUGCGGGUUUCACCCCGUAUUGGUCGUAGAGAAAUUGAUAAGUGUGCCGCCUGGGAAGUACGGUCGCAAGGCUAAAACUCAAAGAAAUUGACGGGGGCUCACACAAGCGGUGGAGCAUGUUGCUUAAUUCGAAGCAACGCGAAGAACCUUACCUGGGUUUGACAUGCACGGAUUAGUUCCUGGAAACAGGAAUGAGGCCCGCAAGGGUACAACGUGCACAGGUGCUGCAUGGCUGUCGU